rnacentral:rRNA from 1 species
GACGAACGCUGGCGGCGUGCCUAAUACAUGCAAGUUGAGCGCUGAAGGUUGGUACUUGUACCAACUGGAUGAGCAGCGAACGGGUGAGUAACGCGUGGGGAAUCUGCCUUUGAGCGGGGGACAACAUUUGGAAGCGAAUGCUAAUACCGCAUAAAGACUUUAAACACAAGUUUUAAGUUUGAAAGAUGCAAUUGCAUCACUCAAAGAUGAUCCCGCGUUGUAUUAGCUAGUUGGUGAGGUAAAGGCUCACCAAGGCGAUGAUACAUAGCCGACCUGAGAGGGUGAUCGGCCACAUUGGGACUGAGACACGGCCCAAACUCCUACGGGAGGCAGCAGUAGGGAAUCUUCGGCAAUGGACGAAAGUCUGACCGAGCAACGCCGCGUGAGUGAAGAAGGUUUUCGGAUCGUAAAACUCUGUUGGUAGAGAAGAACGUUGGUGAGAGUGGAAAGCUCAUCAAGUGACGGUAACUACCCAGAAAGGGACGGCUAACUACGUG